AGUGAUUUAUUCUAAAUAGACUUGCGUCUUAAUCUCUUUCUUUCCCCACGAUUUGCCCGAGCCUCUUGACUCAGGCUUUUUAGCUUUGGAAUGGCUGCUCCGUCCUCUCCUGUCGUUUUUGUCUAGUGUUCUCUCAGCACACAAAUUCUCCCUCCCCAGCCAGGAUCCUGCCACAGAAAGACAGGAGGCAUUGAUAAGACACAACUUGUAACAAAGCUCUACACUCCCCUGAGCCCCAUCAGGAAGUGACAGUCCCCUUGCAGGUAGGAGAGCCCAGAGAAAAAAGACCCAGGCACACUCCUAUUCGAAUGGACAACAACUGACUGCUGUUCCUUUGCUCUGACAUCUCCACCCUCUCCUACCCAAUUGCACUUUCACCUUCGAAAACGGGAUCUCUAUAAGCACCCAGCUAAGCACAGUCAGGGUAUCUAGAUGCACUCGCUCUACUCAAAGCUACAUCAGAAGGCUGGAAUCCUCUUUGCACAAAGCCUAUAUAGUUGUUUUGCAAUUUCCCACCCUUUUCCCUAUUCUUAUACACAGGUUCCACUCUGCAAUUUUGAGAUCUGCCUGUUAACAAAUUGCAAUGACAGCCAUCUGCAGCUAUCCUAUUAUGAGUGCUUUUCAAAUACAUCAUCUUACAUGUGUAUUUCUUCACAUAGCUUAAAUCAGAAAGGCCAGUCAAAUUAAUUGGCCUUGGUGUGUUUCUCAGCGAAUUAGAAAAUCAGGGUCAUCUUGUUCAAAAGGUUCUAUAGGCAAAGCCAGUUUCAUGGACAUGCAAGCUGUACAAUGGUACAGUCGCACUCUUAGAAGGCCUGUUCUGCCAUCACCAUCCUGAAACUCUUCACAAUGACAGUGGCCUGUUAGGAACUGGGCCGCGGCAGGCCAGGGAACAUUACUGCCUGAGCUGUGCCUCAGGUGAGAAAUCAGUGGCAGCAUUAGAUUCUGAUAGGAGCUUCAGUCCUAUAGUGAACUAUGCAUGCGAGAUGUCUAGGUAGCGCACUCCUUAUGAGAAUCUAAUGUCGAUCUGAGAUGGAGCAGUUUCAUCCCCAAGCCAUCACUUGCUACCCCCAGGUCCAUGGAAAAAUUGUCUUCCAUGAAACCAGUCCCUGGUGCCAAAAAGGUUGGGGCCACUCUUUACUUGGGCUGGAAACCUAGUAAUUUUGGCAUAAGCUUACACGACUUCAAUGAUUUGUUUUAAAAUUGCUCAGAAUUGCAAAUGGAAAUAUUUUUUAAGUAUGUUAAACAUAAUAUUAACGAAGAGUAAAGAAGCUAACUAUAAUGACCCCA
rnacentral:lncRNA from 10 species